rnacentral:rRNA from 1 species
AUUGAACGCUGGCGGCAUGCCUUACACAUGCAAGUCGAACGGCAGCACGGGGGCAACCCUGUGGCGAGUGGCGAACGGGUGAGUAAUACAUCGGAACGUGCCCAGUAGUGGGGGAUAGCCCGGCGAAAGCCGGAUUAAUACCGCAUGCGACCUACGGGUGAAAGCGGGGGAUCGCAAGACCUCGCGCUGUUGGAGCGGCCGAUGUCAGAUUAGGUUGUUGGUGGGGUAAAGGCCACCAAGCCGACGAUCUGUAGCUGGUCUGAGAGGACGACCAGCCACACUGGGACUGAGACACGGGCCCAGACUCCUACGGGAGGCAGCAGUGGGGAAUUUUGGACAAUGGGGCAACCCUGAUCCAGCCAUGCCGCGUGCGGGAAGAAGGCCUCGGUUGUAACCGACG